rnacentral:rRNA from 1 species
AGAGUUUGAUCCUGGCUCAGGACGAACGCUGGCGGCGUGCUUAACACAUGCAAGUCGAACGGACUGCGGGGGCUUGCCCUUGUGGUUAGUGGCGAACGGGUGAGUAACACGUGAGUAACCUGCCCCUGACUCUGGGAUAACUGCUGGAAACGGUGGCUAAUACCGGAUAUGAAACCUUGUCGCAUGGUGGGGUUUGGAAAGAUUUUUUGGUCAGGGAUGGGCUCGCGGCCUAUCAGCUUGUUGGUGGGGUGAUGGCCUACCAAGGCGACGACGGGUAGCCGGCCUGAGAGGGCGACCGGCCACACUGGGACUGAGACACGGCCCAGACUCCUACGGGAGGCAGCAGUGGGGAAUAUUGCACAAUGGGCGGAAGCCUGAUGCAGCGACGCCGCGUGAGGGAUGGAGGCCUUCGGGUUGUAAACCUCUUUCAGCAGGGAAGAAGCGAGAGUGACGGUACCUGCAGAAGAAGCGCCGGCUAACUACGUGCCAGCAGCCGCGGUAAUACGUAGGGCGCAAGCGUUGUCCGGAAUUAUUGGGCGUAAAGAGCUCGUAGGCGGUUUGUCGCGUCUGCUGUGAAAACCUGAGGCUCAACCUCGGGCUUGCAGUGGGUACGGGCAGACUAGAGUGCGGUAGGGGUGACUGGAAUUCCUGGUGUAGCGGUGGAAUGCGCGAUAUCAGGAGGAACACCGAUGGCGAAGGCAGGUCACUGGGCCGCAACUGACGCUGAGGAGCGAAAGCAUGGGGAGCGAACAGGAUUAGAUACCCUAGUAGUCC